rnacentral:misc_RNA from 1 species
ACAAAGAUGGCCGCAAGUAAGAAGAUCUGGGUCGUUGUCAAACGAUUUGAUGUGGAUGAUGAAAUUGCAGACAGUGAUCAUGGUGAUGCAGCGUCUAUGGACAUCAAUGACAACGAGGACACUGAAAUGGUCAGACUCGCACUGAGAAAUACAUUCAGCAUCAGCGAUCCGGACCUCAUCCUCAAGUUGCGGAACACGAGGGGUUCCCUCAUCCCAAUCAACAGCAGGAUUGAGGCCAACUCGAACGAUGUACCCUAUGUACUGGAGGUUGUGAGACUCUAUCAAAAUGUGAUGCCAUGUGAGAGGUCAGUCCAGCUCAGCAGAUACAGGGACACUGUCAGGACCAAACUGUCCGAGAUAACCAUGAGGCUGCAGGCUCUGGAAACAGCCACACCAGAACUGAACAACAGACGCUCAGAGAAAAUCAAAGCUGAGAUGGGGAGCUGGACCAGAAGAUUGAGUUCCUGAAGAAGAGGAUCAGCGAUGCCGACAGCGCCAACUGGCGGGGCAUGUUCAAGAAGAACCCAAUGUGGUGAUCCUAGGUGGAGGACGGUCAACACCACACCCACCUAGAGGACACUGGAUGUAGGAUGUGAUACAUGAUUCGGACCUUGAAACAGUGGACGGCAGAAUAUUUGCCUGUGUUACUAAUGGUUGUUACUACAGUUGCAGAUUGCCCUUGCUUGGGCAAGCUAGGUGAAAGUGUUCAGUCUUUCCAAAUAUAUAUGGACACCUGAUGAAUAUGACUUGUACAGUCCAUGGUAGCAUUGUUCACGACCUUCAAUGGUGGUGAUUGAAGUGGAAUUGUUCAUAAACAUCAUGGGCGAUCAAAGUUGCCUUGUACAUGACCAUCAGAAAUUGUCAAAGUGGCAUUGUUCAUGAUCAUCUCUCAUGUUAAUCAAACUGGCAUUGUUCAUAAACAUCAUUGGAGGUGAUCAAAGUGGCAUUGUUCAUGACCAUCAUUAGCAAUGAUCGAAGUGGCAUUGUUCAUAAACAUCACUGGAGGUGAUCAAAGUGGCAUUGUUCAUGACCAUCAUUAGCAAUGAUCAAAGUGACAAUGUUCAUGACCAUCAUUAGCAAUGAUCAAAAUGACAUUGUUCAUAAACAACAUUAGCAAUGAUCAAAGUGACAUUGUUCAUGACCAUCAUUAGUAAUGAUCAAAGUGGCAUUGUUCAUGACCAUCAUUAGCAAUGAUCAAAGUGACAAUGUUCAUGACCAUCAUUAGCAAUGAUCAAAAUGACAUUGUUCAUAAACAACAUUAGCAAUGAUCAAAGUGACAUUGUUCAUGACCAUCAUUAGUAAUGAUCAAAGUGGCAUUGUUCAUGACCAUCAUUAGUAAUGAUCAAAGUGGCAUUGUUCAUGACCAUCAUUAGUAAUGAUCAAAGUGGCAUUGUUCAUGACCAUCAUUAGUAAUGAUCAAAGUGGCAUUGUUCAUGACCAUCAUUAGUAAUGAUCAAAGUGGCAAUGUUCAUAAACAUCAUUAGUAAUUAUCAAAGAGGCAUUAGCCACCACCAUCAAAGUUACAUAACCCAGCCUCAUAAAAAAGUAACUAUACCAGACAAUGUAAUUUCAAGUGUUUUCUGUGUAUUAUUUGUGAUGAGCUUCACUGGACGUUUGUCCAUAGUAUAGACAUUGCUUUGAUUCAAACCAUCGGUAUCUUAUCAAAUUCACCAUUUGCACCAUUAAUCAUUGAAAAGGCUGAUCACAGGUGAUCAUCAAGCUGACAACUUGGGUGGAUCUAAUGGCGACAUCGAAGUGACUCACGGUCACGUCAUCGUGACCUCGUACUGACCUCAUUCUGACCUCAUAGUGAUUCAUCGUUACAUCAUAGGGCAAAGUUCAAGGCAUGUUCCGAUAUAGAAUGUGAUAUAAGCUGCCAUUUUGUUUCCAUAGAUAUACUACAUCAUUCAGUUCCUUCACAAGGUCAUUCCACCACAUGCCAGCUUUAGAAACUGUGGCUGAAACCAACAAGAUUGUACAUUAUUGACCUCUUCUUAG